rnacentral:rRNA from 1 species
GAUGAACGCUGGCGGCGUGCCUAAUACAUGCAAGUCGAGCGAAGCGGGGACGGGUGAGAAACACGUGGAUAACCUCCUAUAAGACUGGGAUAACUUCGGGAAACCGGAGCUAAACCGGAUACUUAGAGCUGGAUCCGCGCUGCAUUCGCUAGUUGGUAAGGGAACGGCUGACAAAGGCAACGAUGCAUAGCCGACCUGAGAGGGGGAUCGGCCACAGUGGAAUGGAGACACUGUCCAGACUCCUACGGGAGGCAGCAGUAGGGAGUCUUCCGCAAUGGGCGAAAGCCUGACGGAGCAACGCCGCGUGAGUGAUGAAGGUCUUCGGAUCGUAAAACUCUGUUAUUAGGGAAGCGGUACCUAAUCAGAAAGCCACGGCUAACUACGUGCCAGCAGCCGCGGUAAUUC